CAAGACCAAAUUUUCAGUUGACCCCUUUAGGAGUUAUUGCCCUUUAUAGUCAAUUUUUAAACAUUUUUCGUAAAUCUUAGUUAUCUUAUACAAAAAUCUUCUCCUCUGAAACUACUGGGCCAAAUUAAGUCAAACUUGGCCACAAUCAUCAUUGGGAUAUCUAGUUUAAAAAUUGUGUCCGGUGACCCGGCCAACCAACCAAGAUGGCUGCCAUGGCUAAAAAUAGAACAUAGGGGUAAAAUGCAGUUUUUGGCUUAAAACAUAAAAACCAAAGCAUUUAGAGCAAAUCUGACAAGGG
rnacentral:lncRNA from 1 species